rnacentral:lncRNA from 12 species
AACCGCAGAAAGAGAACUCCAAAUCUAGAAAGAAGCAGUUGGUCCCUGGCUUCAUUCGAGUAGCCAAGAUGCUCUAAAGCCGAAGCACAAGUCCUCUCUCCGGACCGAGCUGGCCUAUGUGGCCAUUUAGCUGGUUUUCGACAUCAUCUCGCGAAGAUUUUCCUGAUCAACUUUCUCCAAGGCUUGUAUUGAAGAUGUCCUUGUGUUCCAGUUCCAUGCGAAAGAGGAUGUGGAGCCUUGGGGCCCCCAUCGCGUCUGACCCGGAGCGAGAUAGCAACUGGAGCGCCCCUCGGAGACUGCAGGAGCCUGCAUUCCUGAGCUCUCAAACACCCCUAUGGGCCACCACCUGGUGCUGCGGAAGAGUCCCUAGCAACAGCAGAGGGAGGCCCGUGGCACCCCGUGGAGAAUUGGCCAAGGUCUCUCCCCUUGUCUUCCAGUACUCCCGGUUUACCUUCUCGCCUUAUUGCUCAUUGCUUUAUGCCUUCUUUUUUUUUUUUUUUUUUUUUUUGCUUUAUGCCUUCUUGACCUCCGAGUUUCAGUCCAUUUCUUGCUAUGCCUAUUGCUUUCGCUCCACUCCCAAUAUUUGGUCCUCCGUUAUCUUAUUUUGCCAAUUUUCCUUCCUGGGGUAUGCCAGCUUCUGCACCCUCAAACAGAGAGAACAACUGAUGACAAUAAAUGGAGGGGAAAAAAGGGUUGGAGGAAAAGGUGAACAUUACUCAUUUAUGUUUUUAUAUUUGAAACCCCCUACCCUCUUACACUUUGUUUAG